GCCUGCAUGGACACCACGCACUACUGCACGUUCGUAAAGCAUCUCAGCCUGUGCUCCGUCGAUGUCUACAAACAGAGGUGUUGCCGGACGUGUCGGGAAGCGUAAACCUGCGGAGGGGUCGUUAACGCUGCCGUGAAGCGGAGACCAAGACGUAGACGCUCUUUCCCCGUGUAGCUGGUUCAAGCACAUGCCGUUCCUUUAAAAAACCUAGAUUCUGCCUUCAAACCGAGGUCGAUGCACACCUGCCGCUGGUGGAAUGUCCUGUUGUCAUUUUCCCCGGGGCGGGUCUUUCAUUCCAGCUCUUUGACGUGACACAUUCCGGACCUGCAUGGCAGGAGGCCACUGCGCGUGGGGCCUCCCGCGUCCUUCUAAUCAGGAGAUCGCCAGGUCCCCGGGCGUGGCCGCGGGCUUCCUCCGGAGACGUGUAGACUGGUAGUGGGGCGUCCUGAGGACUUGGGGGACGCACAGCAAGUGAUGACUUCCUCUUCGCUCAAGUUUUAGGGUUUCACAGCUCUGGCUCAGACGGAAGCCCCGGUGAGCGGCCAUCCGUCGCCUGUGCAGGCAGCUCACAGGCCUCAAUGGCACCUGAAGCGGGCGGCCCUGCACCUGGUCACCAAGACGUGAGCAGCGCGCUUGGUCUUUGGACGUGUCCGUGCACAAGCUCGCUGAGCUGCAUCCUGAGCGCCAGCUCUCGUGUCCCGACGUUAGCCCCGCGGACACGGGCGAUGAACACUACUGCGCGUGGAGGCUUGGUGGCCGGGGAGGCACACGCCAGCCCACGGGUCAUGAAUCAUCAACCACCCUUAACUGUUGGCGGUUUUUAAAUUAAAAAAAAAAGAUCAUUUGUAAAAUACUCUUUGUAUAUAUUUAUUAUAUGACUUAAAGGUGCAAUAUUUUAUUUUGUACAGUAUGUAAUAAAGACAUGGGACAUAUAUUUUUCUUACUAACAAAAUUUCUUAUUAAAUUGCUUCACCUUUGUAUUUAAAGUUGCUGUUUUUCUUGUACUUUGGUUACCAUUCAAAGGACCUUCCUGUGUACUGUAUUUUACUACUGUUUCUAUAACGUAAGAGUUAAUGUUCCCUUCGUGCCCCUUACGUGAUCCAGAAAUAAAUUUACUUUGAUUAUUCAGUGGCAUCCUUACA